rnacentral:rRNA from 1 species
CCGAACAAGUGAUGAUUGUAUAUCGCCGGAGCCGCGAGGAAAUGCCUGCCUAUGAUUUCGAAUAUGAACUUGCCAAGAGCGAUGGUGUGCACUUCCACUUCCUUAGCGCUCCAAAGCGCAUCAUCGGCACCACACACGUGGAAGCCAUCGAAUGUAUCCGGAUGAAGCUCGGUCAACCC